AACUUGAAUUCACUUGCAGGGCCAACAGACACAGAGCUUACAGCGGGGGAGCUUCACUGCAAAGCAGACAGGUGAGCAUACAGUGGGCUGCCAGAUAAAUACACUCAAUGGUCUGUGAAGUACAACAAUGUUAGCCUCUUCUUAUGCAGUCAGAAUGUGAUGGGAAAACUCCGGUAAGAA